rnacentral:rRNA from 1 species
ACGAACUGUGCAAACGUUAUUCGGAAUCACUGGGCUUAAAGGGUGCGUAGGCGGUCGCACAAGUCAGGUGUGAAAUCCCCCGGCUCAACCGGGGAACAGCGCUUGAAACUAGGUGACUAGAGUGAGGUAGGGGUACGCGGAACUUCUGGUGGAGCGGUGAAAUGUGUAGAUAUCAGAAGGAACGCCGGUGGCGAAAGCGGCGUACUGGGCCUUGUCUGACGCUGAGGCACGAAAGCUAGGGAAGUGAACGGGAUUAGAUACCCCGGUAAUCCUAGCCGUAAACACUGAGCACUGGAGGGGAGGGGCUUCGGCCGUUUCCCUCGUAGCGAAAGCGUUAAGUGCUCCGCCUGGGGAGUAUGGUCGCAAGGCUG